GAAUUGUGUCAGAGUUCUAACUGGACUUGAUUCCCUGGGAAUGGACCUCGUCGUCCAGGGACAAAACAUCCUUCAGCUCCGCCUCCGAGAGACCGUGUCUGAAGGGAGGACCAGUGGGGCUUUGAGGCACAUCUCAUGUCUUCUGCAUUUGGAGGAUGCAGAAUCCAAGAGAGGGAGGGAUACAGCCACCCGCGCGGUGUCCAGCACAUCACCUGGGAUCAGCAUUUGGACAGCGCCCACAAGGUACCAAGCACGGUUAGGGCAAUACCCACCAAGGAAGACCUUUUCCGAUUUUUUUUUUUUUUUUUUUUUUUUUUUUGAGACAGAGUUUCACUCUGUCGCCCAGGUUGGAGUGCAGUGGUGCAAUCUCGGCUCACUGCAACCUCCGCCUCGCGGGUUCAAGCGAUUCUCCUGCCUCAGUCUCCUGAGUAGCUGGGACUACAGGCGCCACCACGCCUGGCUAAUUUUUGCAUUUUUAGUAGAGACGGGGUUUCACCAUGUUAGUCAAGCUGGUCUCCAACUCCUGACCUCGUGAUCCACCUGCCUCGGUCUCCCAAAGUGCCAAUCUUUUCCUCUGCAUGCACACCUACAGAACCAUAAAUGGCCCGCUCCUCAACCUCGAAGGGGUCUGAGACAGACACUAUAGGGAGGGAAGUGGUAACUCAAGGAAAAUAAUGCAGAAACCAACUGCACCUACCCCACUCCACCCUGGCCCACCAAGGCUUGUCUUUAAAUUAGGAUAAUUGGGCUGGGCGUGGUGGCUCACACCUGUAAUCCCUGCACUUUGGGAGGCUGAGGCAGGAGGACUGCUCGAGGCCAGAGCUCAAGACCAGCCUAGGCAACAAAGGGAGACCCCAUCUCUACAAAAAAAUUUAAAAAUUAGCUGGGCAUAGGGGCACACACCUGUAGUCCCUGCUACUCUAGAGGCUGAGGUGGGAGGAUCACUUGAGCCCAGGAGGUUGAGGCUGCAGUGAGCUGUGAUUACAUCACUGCACUCCAGACUGGGCAAAAGAGUGAGGCCCUGUCUCUAAAAUAAAUACAUAAAUACAUGAACAAAUAAAUACAAAUAAAGUUAAACUGGUUAAAAAUUAAUAAAAU
rnacentral:lncRNA from 10 species